ACCAACCAAACAGCCCCUCCUCCCUUCUUCUUCCUUUUGGUCGAUCACCACACACACACAACACAUACACAAUUCCAAAUUUCUCUCAAAUAUAUCUAUUUUAUCUCCAUCAAAAACCUGAUUUAUAUUGAAAUCAAAAGGGGAAUUUAAGGGAAGGAAUUAUUUAGUGGAUAAUCAAGGAAUCAUCAUCAACAUCAUUAUCAUCUUCAUCUUUUUCAUUUAUUUCUCAAGAACUUCAACUUUUGGUUUUGGAUAGACGUGGAGACUAGACUGCUCAUUUUCUCGGACUACUCAUACUUCUAGCUCUUUGACCGCUAAGGUAACCAACAGUAAGUCUUGGAUCAUCUUGACAUGAUAGGGCCAUUCUUUUGACU